UUAGAUAUUUCAACCUAUAGAAAAUGCUUUUGGAAUUUUGAAUGGUGGCAAUGCCGUUUUAUAAAUUUUAAUAAACAUGUAUUUAGGCAAGCGAUCAUUUCUUAAAAUCAACUUUGCUUUUACUGUUCCAAGCUGAUUACACAAACCUUCAAUUAGGAGAAAUAAAAUAAAUAGAACAAAUAUGUGUACAGUUUCUCUGAUGCCAAGAGCGCCUGGUCGUGAUGAAGUUCCACAGCAUCCGUUAGAAAGACUUGCACCAUUGAGAGAAGACUAUGAACUAAGAAUGGGUACUUUUCAGCUAUGGUCCAAUCCUAGUAUAAAUGCAAAAGACCUGUGUGAUAAUGGAUUUUAUUACAUGGGAAUGGAUGAUAAGGUCCAAUGUGCUUUUUGUGGGGGUGUUCUAAAUGGUUGGAGCUGUGGUGAUAACGUUCAUAUUAAACAUGCUACUCAUUAUGGACAUUGUAUAGUAGUUCGUAUGGUGAAACAUACCAGAUAUGCGGUGAAUAAUGAAAGACUUUCUACAUACAACAACUGGCCACAGAGUCUCAAACAGAAUCCAAUAGAUCUUGCGGCUGCAGGCUUCUUUUAUAAAGGAGAACAUGAUAUAUGUGUAUGUUAUAUGUGUGGAGGACACAUAACAGACUGGGAAGAUAAUGAUAUACCUGAAAUAGAGCACAGAAAAUGGUUUCCUACUUGCCCAUUCAGUCAAAGGUAGAAUACAACGUUUCCAUUAUCUGUAAAAUUGGUUUUGAAAGACAAAGUUAUAUGAUAGAGGAUAAGCUUUGAUUAGUGUUCCGAUAAAAGGCUAUUUCAGAUUUGAAUGAAAGUGUGUUUUAGCCGUAUGCAUCGCUUUAAAGAGGAGAAGAUUGCAUCGGAACAGGAAGGACAAAAUUUCAAGACGGAAAUUAUAUCGGCCUUAUAGAACUAACAGAACUUUGGAUUAAAUAAGCCACCAGAAAUUUAAAAAAAAAAAUGCAUAUCUUUAUAGAGACAUACGUCGUGCCAAGAUGUUGGACGAUAUGAAUAUAAUCAUAAAACACUUUCUGAAUAAAUAUUAUAUAUUAACAGAUUUCAA